rnacentral:rRNA from 1 species
AUGCAACGCGAAGAACCUUAUCCAGUGGUUUGACAUCCUCUGACUACCAUGGAAACAUGGAUUUCCUGUUAAGGGACAGAGUGACAGGUGCUGCAUGGCUGUCGUCAGCUCGUGUCGUGAGAUGUCGGGUUAAGUCCCGCAACGAGCGCAACCCUUGUUCUUAGUUACCAGCGGGUAAUGCCGGGGCCUCUAAGGAGUCUGCCUGCGAUGAGCGGGAGGAAGGUGGGGAUGACGUCAAGUCCGCAUGGCCCUUAUGCCCUGGGCUGCACACGUGCUACAAUGGUCGGUACAACGGGCAGCGAAAUCGCGAGAUGGAGCAAAUCCCUAAAAGCCGGCCCCAGUUCGGAUUGGAGUCUGCAACUCGACUCCAUGAAUGCAGGAAUCGCUAGUAAUCGCGGAUCAGAAUGCCGCGGUGAAUACGUUCCCGGGCCUUGUACACACUGCCCGUCAAGCCA